AGAGUUUGAUCCUGGCUCAGAACGAACGCUGGCGGCGUGCCUAACACAUGCAAGUCGAGCGAGAAAGUCCCGGCACGGGAUGAGUAAAGCGGCAAACGGGUGAGUAACGCGUGGGUAAUCUACCCUACGGAUCGGGAUAACCUGCCGAAAGGUGGACUAAUACCGGAUGAUGUUCUUGCGGUGAUUCCGUGAGAACCAAAGGGGGCGAGCGUAAGCAGCUCUCACCGAAGGAGGAGCCUGCGUCCGAUUAGCUAGUUGGUGGGGUAAUGGCCUACCAAGGCGACGAUCGGUAGCCGGCCUGAGAGGGCGAUCGGCCACACUGGAACUGAGACACGGUCCAGACUCCUACGGGAGGCAGCAGUGGGGAAUAUUGGACAAUGGGCGAAAGCCUGAU
rnacentral:rRNA from 1 species